UUGCAGGAAAAAGAUGAAAACUUUUAUGGGAUGCAAAUGCAAGUACUUGUGGAUAUAUUCCAUCCUUUUCUGUCCUCCAAAGAGUGAGGAAGAAAAGGAAGAACAACCUCUGUGAAAUUUGUGGAGGAUGGCAAAAAAUUGUGGUAUAAACUUGUUGAAAAAAGGAUGAGAGGCAUUGGCAGUGUGAGGAGGGACGUAAAAGAAAAGAAGAAAGGUGUGCGAAAAAGUGCAAGUUGAAAUACUGAUACUGAAAUCAUUAUGGUCAUUACUGUAAUGAUUAAAAUGUUAAGAAAAAGCUAGAGAUUGAGUUUCAAGAAAAGACCCUUGGGUUACUUGGCGCUAAGA